rnacentral:rRNA from 1 species
UACGAAGGGGGCUAGCGUUGUUCGGAAUUACUGGGCGUAAAGCGCACGUAGGCGGGUAUUUAAGUCAGGGGUGAAAUCCUGGAGCUCAACUCCAGAACUGCCUUCGAUACUGGAGAGCUUGAGUCCGGGAGAGGUGAGUGGAACUGCGAGUGUAGAGGUGAAAUUCGUAGAUAUUCGCAAGAACACCAGUGGCGAAGGCGGCUCACUGGCCCGGUACUGACGCUGAGGUGCGAAAGCGUGGGGAGCAAACAGG